ACGGAGGAUCCAAGCGUUAUCCGGAAUCAUUGGGUUUAAAGGGUCCGUAGGCGGCUUUAUAAGUCAGUGGUGAAAUCUCCCCGCUCAACGGGGAAACGGCCAUUGAUACUGUAAGGCUUGAAUUAUUAGGAAGUAACUAGAAUAUGUAGUGUAGCGGUGAAAUGCUUAGAGAUUACAUGGAAUACCAAUUGCGAAGGCAGGUUACUACUAAUGGAUUGACGCUGAUGGACGAAAGCGUGGGUAGCGAACAGGAUUAGAUACCCUGGUAGUCCACGCCGUAAACGAUGGAUACUAGCUGUUGGGUGCAAACUCAGUGGCUAAGCGAAAGUGAUAAGUAUCCCACCUGGGGAGUACGUUCGCAAGAAUG
rnacentral:rRNA from 1 species